GACAGAGGGUGCAAACGUUGUUCGGAAUUACUGGGCGUAAAGCGCGUGUAGGCAGCUCGGAAAGUCGGAUGUGAAAGCCCUGGGCUUAACCCAGGAAGAGCAUUCGAAACUUCCGAGCUUGAGUUCCGGAGAGGAAGGCGGAAUUCUCGGUGUAGAGGUGAAAUUCGUAGAUAUCGAGAGGAACACCGGUGGCGAAGGCGGCCUUCUGGACGGUGACUGACGCUGAGACGCGAAAGCGUGGGGAGCAAACAGG
rnacentral:rRNA from 2 species